AGGUCGAGGCGGCCGCCCGUGUCACUGCAGCCUCCGCCGGGGAGAGAAAGGCGCGAGGAGGCGCGAGCGAGCGCCGCGGAGUCGCUGCAGCUGGCGGGCCAUGGGGAGCCCGAAGGACGAGCUGCUCAAGCCCAUCUGGCACGCUUUCACCGCCCUCGACUUGGACAGAAGCGGCAAAGUCUCCAAGUCGCAGCUCAAGGUCCUUUCUCACAACUUGUGUACAUUGCUGAAUGUCCCACAUGACCCAGUAGCCUUAGAAGAGCACUUUAGGGAUGAUGAUGAAGGCCCUGUUUCAAAUCAGGGUUAUAUGCCUUAUUUAAACAGAUUCAUCUUGGAAAAGGUUCAAGGAAACUUCGACAAAAUCGAAUUCAAUAAAAUGUGUUGGACUCUGUGUGCCAGAAAGAACCUUGCAAGAAAUACCUUGCUCCUUUCUGAUGAUGAUGCUUUUAAAGUGUGGGUCAUCUUCAAUUUCCUAUCUGAGGACAAAUAUCCACUAGUCAUUGUACCAGAAGAGAUUGAAUACUUGCUUAAGAAACUGACAGAAGUCAUGGGAUUAGGCUGGCAUCAAGAACAGUUUGAACAUUACAAGAUCAGCCUCGAUACCAGCUGGGAAGGUCUUUCUGCUUGGGAAUUGAUUGAACUGAUUGGAAGUGGUCGAUUUAGCAAAGGGAUGGAUAGGCAAACAGUAUCUAUGGCAAUUAAUGAAGUCUUCAACGAACUUAUAUUAGAUGUAUUGAAACAGGGAUAUAUGUGGAAGAAGGGCCACAAAAGGAAAAACUGGACUGAACGCUGGUUUGUUUUAAAACCCAGUAUUAUAUCGUACUAUGUUAGCGAAGACCUAAAAGACAAAAGAGGAGAGAUUAUAUUGGAUGGCAACUGUACUGUAGAGGCUUUGCCUGACAAAGAUGGAAAGAAAUGUCUCUUUCUUAUAAAAAGCUUAGAGAAAUGUUAUGAGAUUAGUGCCUCUGAUAAGAAGAAGAGGCAGGAGUGGAUUCAAGCUAUUCAGACAACUGUAAAUCUAUUGAGAUUAAGUAGCCCUCCACCUCACAAGGAGGCACGACAGAAACGUAAAGAGAUACGCCAGAAAUUGCAGGCUGAGCAAGAGGAACUGGAAAGGCAGAUGAGAGAGCUCCAAGUGGCAAAUGAGAAUAAGCAGAAGGAACUGGAGACUGUUCGAAAGCAACUCGAGGAAGCUGCAGCUCGAGCUUCAGAAGAGGAGACCAAACGUCUGCAGACUCAAAUGGAACUGCAAGAUCGAUUCAGUCUUGAGCUGGAGAGAGAAAAAAUGGUGAGACAGAAAAUGGAAGAACAGGUAGCCCAGAAGUCAUCUGAGCUAGAACAGUACUUGCUGAGAGUCCAGGAACUCGAGGAAAUGUAUAAACAGCUACAGGAGGCCUUGGAGGAUGAAAAACAGGCACGUCAGGAUGAGGAGACUGUCAGGAGACUUCAGGCCAGACUACUGGAGGAAGAGUCUACCAAGAGAGAAGAACUGGAGAAAUGGCAUUUUGAGCAGCAGCAGGCCAUUGAGGUGACUGAAGCAGAGAAGCAGGAGUUGGAAAACCAGGGAAUGAUGAAGGAACAUGCUCUUCAAGUUGCCCUGCAACAGUUAGAACAACUGGAACUGGAUAGGAAGGAAGCACUGGAACAAUAUGAGGAGGUCAAAAAGAAGUUGGAAGUUGCAGCAAACAAGACCAAGAGUUGGAAAGAUAAAGUUGCUCACCACGAGGGAUUAAUUCGAUUAAUUGAACCAGGUUCCAAGAAUCCUCACUUGAUCACAAACUGGGGACCAGCAGCCUUCACUGAAGCUGAACUUGAGCAGAGAGAGAAGAGUUGGAAGGGGAAAAGGGGCACUUCUGAGCAAUGAACGUUGUGUGUGUGUGUGUGUGUAUAAGAAAUCUAAAAGGAAUAAUUUUAUACCAGCUUUGUUUCAAGGUUUCCAUGAACAAGUUGCACCAGAUUACAAAAUAUUAAAUGCCUGGUGCACAUUAAUAUCUAAUGCAUUUUCAUGCUUGUACAUACAGGGAGCAUUAUUAUAGCAGAAUUGGCAGGAGGUCAAAAGUGUCGGUUUUCUGCACACGAAUUGUGUUUGAAAUGAAUUCUGUCGAUCAGUGGUUCUCAUACUUUUUCCUCCAUGGACUGCUUGAAAAUUGCUGAGGAUCUUUAUGGCUCACUCAGUUUUGUUUUAUUUUACUUUUUGCACGUAGUGGCAAUUGUAAUGCACUGCAUUAGAUACUGAAUGACUUUUAAAUUGCAUUUAAAUUGCUUCUUUUAAUUCUUAUACAUUGUAUUUUAUUGUAUUCCAUAGAAUUCAAACUGUAAUGCAAUAGAAUAUGAUUUAAGAAUUAAAGGAAACAAUUAAAAAUCAGUAUGAAUAUUGAAUGCAACAGACAUGCCAGCGCCUGUUCAACCACAUAUCCACAGACCACCUGAAUGAAGCUUAUGGAACACCAGUGAUCCAUGGACUACCGUUUGGCAACCCCUGGUAUAGAUGAGGAAAAUAUGGGGGUUCUGAUACUGACUUGAUUUUUAGAAUUUGGCACUGGCUUAAGGGAAGGAGAAGUGAAACAAGGCCCAAUUGAAAUACCUUUUCAGCUAACAAACUUUGAACUGGUUUGAGGCUGUAAAAUAUUAUGUAAAUUUUUCAUCUCUGCAUGCUACCACAGUCCACAGUCUCCUGGAGAAACACAGUAGCUUUAGCCGCUAAAACUGUGUGUUGAAAUUCCCCAUAAUUCCUUUCUCUGUAGAUAUUGGGUGCUAUUUCAGGAAAACAACUUUGUGGGAGUAGCACCUGAAUCUUAACAAGUUUGAAGUGUGUAAGGAGAAAGUGGGUGAUUAGCAGUACUUUAAGCAGCACCUGGGCUUUGUUUGAUUUUUCAUCUUUUAGCAGUAGCUAUCUGCAAAUUUUGGACAACUGUUUGCAGUUUUUAGGAAUAUAUGUUUUGUCUUUCUUGGGAGAAACCUUUUGUCAGAAUUCUGGCAAUCCUGUUCUAUUUCUAGGAAGUCUGCUUAGGAAUUCUUAGCCUAAUACUGGCAAAGUGUACCCCUGAACAUUUCACUUAACAUACAUUUAAAUAAUGUUUGUAUUAGGAAUUCUUAUAUGCAGUAUUCCUGCUGCCUGUCUACCUUUGAUAAACUCAAAAAUUACAGUGCCAGGAAACCUGAAAUAUUGAUGUGCUGGGGAGAUUUCUCCCUCCCCUUGGGUGUGUGCUAAACUUUUCAGAUCAAGCAUUGUGCUUCAAACAUAUAUCACUUAAGAAAAAUCAGUAUUGAAUCUCUCUCUCCCUCGCUCUUACACACACACACACACACACACACACACACACACACAUAAUUUAUACAUAUUCACUGUAGACUUGCAUUGCUCAAACUUUUGAUACCUGAGAAGCAGUCUUUCUUUCUGGGUUAAAAUUAAAGGCAUGCUUUGUUCUUCACUUAGAUAUAUAUCUCCAUUCAGCUUUCAAAAUAAUGGACAGUAUAAUCUCUGCAACUGCAGGAUAAUAGUGUCCAAUCCUACCUGCCAAGUGUUCCACACUCCCUUUUACCCAGUGAGUAAUGGGUAGGGGUGGCACUGUGCUUUCUUGGGCAGUGCUAAUGUUUCUAGGAUUCCUCCUCCCUCUACUGUGCUGUAGGCUUUAAAGAAUCUUGGAGUGUUGCUUGGGAUGUUGCUGCAGCUCAUAUAUUGGAGCAAAAAGGGAAUCACUGCUGCAUUGGGUGGCAGAUGUUUUUGCCAUAGCGGCUUAGUUUUUCAGGACACAUUUUGUCAGUCCUUCUCAUGGUGUACAACUUGGGAAUUACUGCUGACAGUAGGCGUUUCUUUGACUGAAACAAUUUGUGUAACUUACUAUGAAAGUCUAUGGAUGCAAGCCUGUGUGCAUACUUACCUGGGAGUAAGUCCCACUGAACCUACUGGGUCUUAUUUCCUGAAUAAACAUGCAGAGGAUUGCAUUGUUUGCUAACCAACUACUUCUUGAAUUACAGACACCUGCUCAUGCAAAUUGUUAACUAACUGUCCUUGCUUACCAAACUUGUACAGUUUUUCUGUACAGCCUGAAUAUUGGUGCAGCUAAUACUUGGUAAAUUAUUUUGACAUAAAUGUAAAAUUUAAUAUUUUAUACUUAAGUAUUUGAAUAUAUAAUAGUAUGUAUUAUUCAAUUAUUUGUGCCUUCCUACCACAGGAACAAAAAGUGAUAACCUUGAAGUAGGGUCUGUUCUCUGGAGCUCAUGGCAGGCAGCGGGGUGCACAGAGGCAGAACUAUGCAGCUCUUUCUAUUCAUUUGACUGGGAUAUACAAGAGUGUUUCAUGCAGACUGCAGAAACAGAUUAAUUUAUUGAGCCAAUUCUGGGCUACCAUGCUUGACAGGUGUACAUCAAUUUCUCUGAAGACAAUACAGUACAACUCCAACGUGGAAGUGCUCCUAAUAUGUUGCAAAAACACCAACCAACAUGGCAAACUCCAGCAGAAUUGCUAUUUGGCAUGCCUGGUGAUAGCCUAGCAAUGGAAAAAUCAAUCAGAAAGACCCAUGGCUCUGGUUUAAUGCUGUGUGGAAUGUGGCCUUAGCAGAAAGUCUUAGCUAUCAUAGAAGAGUUAUACAAGGAACUUCCAGAAGAGACAAAUUUGACACGGUCUUAGAUCAGCACAUACACAAUGACUUGGAGCUGAAGAUGUGAUCUGACAACAGCCUUUGCAUUUGAAGAGUUACAAGGUGAUACAAACACUCUUUCUUUAUUGUUGUACAGUGGUACCUCUACUUACAAAUAACUCUACUUAUGAAUUUUUCUACUUACAAAUGGAGCUCCGUCCGCCAUCUUGGAUGCGGUUUAGAUAGGAUUUUUUCUACUUACGAAUUUUUAGAUAGGGUUACUUCGACUUACGAAUUUUUUCUCCUAAUGCAUUCCUAUGGGAUUCGACUUACAAUUUUUUUCGACUUACAAAUGUGUGUUCGGAACGCAUUAAAUUCGUAAGUAGAUGUACCACUGUAUCUGUAAAGGGCAAUUUACACAUGAGAUGAAUUCAAACAGACAUAUUAGCUUUUGCACCUAUAACAGUAAUUUUACAUAUCCAGGUAGCACAUUUCCAUUCUAACAUUGUUGCUCCUAAUUUGUGUUUCCUAAUUAGCACCUGCUUUUCCAGCUGUUUUUCAAAGUAGCCCAUUUUAUAUUUGCUCUCUUUCCUUCUCAUAGUCUCCUAUUUUCAUUCCUGUUAGUUCUUUCACUUCUUCAUAUUCAUUUUAGUAUGCUCUAAUUCUGGAUGUACCUUUUAAAUUAAAAACAUUUUUUUCUGUGCAGCGAUUAGGGCACUAAGGAUGUGCAUCUGAAUGGCUUAAACGGCACAGUUAAACACACCCGAAUACUGAACGGAAUCACUCACACAAAUGGUUUAUCAUGCAGAGCUAGUUCAUAGUUCUCUGUCAUGUGUGAAAUGGGCUUUACAGUACUUUGCAGUUUGCCAUACUUUUUUUAAAAUAGUUGUGUAUGUGCCCUGCAAAGAUAUGUGCGUAUGUGGAGAAAUUUCUGUGGAAUUGUGAUGUAGCAGGAUGGUACAAGUGGGAAGAAAAAUUAAGAAAGCCAGUUAUACAUAGAAACAUAACAACAACCCCCCCCACCUAAAAAAACUAAUGCUGGAACGGGCAGGGCAAUAUUUAUUUUUUGUUUUAUGUAAAAGCAUUUAUAAACAAUUUAAUACUUUUAAAAAUCUCAAAGUGGUGUACAACACAAAAACCAUAAACAAUAUCAUUAAAACAACAAUACAACAUAAAACAGUAUAAUAAAAGUAUUUUAAAACAAAAGUAAGAAUUAGGAAUCCACAGCAACACAAUGCCACCAACUCCUAACUACAGAGACAGUCCAGGAGGAUGCCAUGAUCAGUGUAUUGAAAGCCACUGAGAGAUAAGCAAUGCAUUUUUAUGUUGUGAACCAACCAACCAGGGUCAUCCAUCCAAGGCCAAUUUUGUCUCAAAGCUGGGCUUGAACCUAAACUGUAAUGGGUCAAGAUAAUCAGCUUCCUUCAAGAGUGUCUGCAGCUGGAUUGCUGCUAUUCCAGAGUGAAAUGAAGGUCUUAGCAGGAUUGCUGGCUCCGACUUCUGGAAAAUCCCCCAAAGCAUUAAUAAAUCCCUCUAAUUCCACAAGUCUUUGGCAGUGGACACUAUGAAGGACCCCUCACCACUGCAGGAGGAAGACACAUGACGUAAGACCAAACAUAACCAUGUCUGACCAUGACAACGGUUAUGUCAAACCUCUCCCUCCCCGCCCAUAUUCAGACCGCUACCCCUCACACCCUGAGGUAAAGACCAAAUCAGGGUAUGUAUGUGACAUCCUAUGCAUUGGGCUGCUGACAAUUUUGAACAGCCCCGUGGAUUUCAUGGAGAACAUGGAAGUUUUGAUCUUACCCUACACUUGAUAUAGCUAUUGAGCUACCAGAACCAGUGCCAUGGAAUUCUCCCAACACCACACCUUGAGGCCACCAAGGUACAGGCCUUCAUAGCGCACCCCAGGAUGGAAAGGCUUCCUGGUGAACAAGACACUAGCUCUAUGGGCCACAGAGACGCCCCUUCUCUGGACUUCCAAACAAGGUGGAUGCUGCACCAGAUAUCUGUUAAAGCUUGAGUCAAAUCCACUCUGCCCAACUCACCCAGGUCUGAGUAAUACAGGCUAGGCAGGUUCCUUCAUUCGUAAUCAAACUAAACAGCAGCACCAACUCAGUUGGCCACCAGGUGCCUGUAGUGAAUGGACUGUGUAGUCAUCAAGAUCGCCCAUAGACCCAAUGCCCCCCCCGACCUGUGGUCACUUGUAUAGGGUCACCAUCAGUCUCCUCUCCUCUACUGUGUCUCACAUCCCGACUCGUACACAUUCACUUCCAAAUCUCAGGACCCUGAAUAAGAAGCUCCCAACACAAUUGCCCAACAGAUCACAUUGCCAUGAACCAUAUAUCUUGUGGAUGUGUCCAUGAUUGGUUGCCAUGCUCUUAUCAGGUCACCAUUUCCCAGCACUCUGCCUCUCAAUCAAAAUACUAGGUUAGGCCUUUCACCCAGGAAUCAACCCAAUCAACAAGUCAAACUAACUAGGGAAUCAUUCAUUUGAGGGUGACCCUACAGAAUCCCUGUGGAGCUGAUGAUUAAGGCAGACAAAGGUGCCUGCUAUUAGGAACUGCCAAGUCUCGGCUGGCUGGCCAUUCUAGGAAGCCAAACCCCUUUGCAGAGCCAAACUGCCCUGCAAGAACAUCACAGGUCAAAGUGACAAGCAAGCAGCAGAUGCGGAGGAGAUGGUCUGAGCGUCUUCUGCAUCUGCUGCUAUGGGUGACUGCUCUUCAUCAGAAAAUCUACUCAAAAUUAUGUUAUCUACAUAAAAUUUAAUAUCUGGAACGUGAAAGAUUAUGAAACAUUUGAACAUUAGGAAAAUAACAAAACAAAUAGAAAGGUUGCCAUCAUAAAAUGCUUACAUUGCAUGCAAAGAAACUCAAGAAUAGUGCACUAUCUGAAUAGAAAAUGUCACCAGUUUAUGGGCUGUAUUAUUUACUUGCUCUAUUUUUUAUCAUAGAAAUUUCACAAAAACUUGCUGUUGGCAGCUAUGCCCUAAAUUACAGUGUUUUGGGGCACAUUUAAAGAUAAAUUGGAGGGCAUACUUAGAACAGAUUUUCUGAUGAAGUGUUAAUACUCAAUGAAAGGGCUUCCUAAUCAACUAUUUUCCUGCAGACAACAGGACGAAUGCCAGAUAUCUAAGCCGCCUUAUGGCAGUUCUGGUGCUAAAAGGCUCAAGUAAUCAACUGUUGUUGAAUAUGCCAUUUGUAUAUUGUAUCCAUAUUCAUGUUGCAUGUGGAUUUUUUUUGGUAUUCACUUAAUACAGAAGCACAACCUUUCUAAGCAAGUAAUAAUAGUGAAAUAUUACUGGCCGCCUGUAGUAUUAAUGGAAUGUUGUGCGUUUAAUAAUGAUAAAACACACUUAAGAACAAGUCUUUUCCACAUACAAGAUGGCACUUGCCUGUAUAAAAAUAUGAAUUUUAUUACAGGGUUAUUUGGAAUAUAAUUUAACUGUAGUGUUAUAUGAUGCAAGGUAUUUAUUGUAUACCACUUGGUAGAGGAAAGAAGGGAUGCUUUCUUAAGAAGUAUCUUUAUUACAAGUUGGUUAGCAUAUACUAGUUAUGUAACAUACAUAAAAUAAUUAAAAUUGGCUAGUUACAACCAUAGAAGUAGUGUACAUUUUAAACAGCCACAAAACAGAAUAAUUAUACAAAGUACAUAUAAAAGUACUUCAUAUACGAAGAAAAAUACAUAAAUGUGCAAACACCAUUUUUCAUAGGUGGUGGUUUAUCGGCUGAAAAUGCUAGAAAAAUCCUUCAUUUCUGUUUGUUUUUGGGAUUCCAAUGUAUUUAAAACAGAUGUAUUUCCUAGUCUGAGUACAAUGUGAAAUCUGUAUUUAAUUUAAAAAAUAUAGAAAAAGUAGUGGUUUUUUUUUAAAAAAGGUAAACAAUUUCAGUAACUGAAAUUCUAUAAAUGAAGUCAGUUUGGUUAGUUGGUAGUGACCCCGUUCACAUGAGAUUGUAAACCAUGGUUUGAUGUUAGAAUGAAAAGCCACAAUGAGCCUUGGGCUCAUAUGCUUCCUUACCUCCUCACCUCUAGCACACUUGCGAUGAGCAGAAUGAAAGCUCCCUCUUCCCUUUUACAUCAAUCACAUUUGAAUAUUCUGUCCGAUUCCUAAACUGUACCUGCUAUUAACUAUCAUUAGUGAAAAUAACCCAGCUUUGUAAAAUACGGGUUGAAGUUGCCUUGUUUUCACUAAUUACAGUUAAGAUCAGGCACCCCCAAACUCGCCCCUCCAGAUGUGUAUUGGGACUACAACUCCCAUGCUCCCUAGCUAACAGGAUCAGUAGUCAGGGAUGAUGGGACUUGUAGUCCCAAAACAUCUGGAGGGCCAAGUUUGGGGAUGCCUGGUUAAGACUAAACAGUUUGAGUGGGAAGCUUUUGAGCUGUUCCUCUUUGCUGCACCAGAAGAGGAGGGAAUAGCAUGUAAGCCCAACACUUGCUGGUUUGUCAUUGUUACACUUGACCAUAGUUUAGCACGACAUGUGAAUGUAGCCAUUAAGUUACAAGCAACAUUACUAAACACUAGAAAAUACUGACCAGUAUGUACAAACUCUGACAUAUUAGUUUGAUAUUUAAACAUAUUAGUACUUAAAACAAAAACAUGACAUGUUAGUUAUCUAGAGACUCUACACUCAAAGUCAUCACAGAUUGCACCAAGUCAAACUUGUUAUUAAUUUUGGACUGUAAAAAAACCAACAACAUUCCUCAAAGAUUUUUAAGAUGAACAAACACAAUGUUAGCAAAUGUAAAAAAAUCUAAAAACAUUCUUCCAAUUCAUGUGCAAAAAUGUUUUUAAAGUAUCAAAUCACACCAUAUUAUGCCCAAUUAUGUACAUAUUCUUUAUCUGAAAUCACUGUUAUCUAGCUAGCAUUCUGCUAUAAAUAAUUUACCUCUAUCCUUCAAAUGUCUGCUUUCAAGGAUUUCAGUGCAAGUGUUUGUUUUGUUUAGUGCAUUUAUCAUUGUUAUUUCAUUUUACAACGAGCAGAACAGCACAUAAAUUAAUAUACAACUUUUUAUAUUUCUUAGGCUUUUCUCCCAAGUGAUUUGUAGAAGGUUUUGACCUUUGUCAGUUUUAUUGUUGUCUUCAUUUAUCUUCUGCCACAGGUAAAGAGAAUGUAAAUAAAAAAAUGAUGUAUCCUUCAACUAUCUAGAUAUAUCUGGAGACAAAAAUACCAGGAAAGAAACAUUUCUUAAACAUUUUUGGUGUCUAGAAUAAAUGUCUUAAGACUCUGUCAUGCAUAUUUUUUGGUUUCCAAACCAUGGUUACAGGGCUAGAGGAUAGCCUGCACAAUCCAUUCUUUCCAUCCCCUCUGGGAAGUGCCACAUCUCAGAGGGUUGGAGAAGUCUCCUGAAAAAUGUGGGCUAUAGUGUGUUGGGUGGUAGUGGGGAGGGAAAAAUUACCUGAAAUUUGGCUGAGGAACCUUGCAUGAGCCUGAUUAUACACACUUCCUCCCUUCCCACUAUACAGCCCUGUACAACCACAAGCAACAUUUUUUCAGGAGGGUCCCUCAGCCGUCUGGAGAAAACAAUAGUUGUGCAAACUGUAUUCUGUUUAUGCAUCUGUGGGAUACAAUUCCUAAUGGGUCUUGAAGAUUUUAAGAAUGCUGUAUAAGAUUUACUAGCCUGACAAUUGACUCCCUUUCUGAAACACUGGAAAAUAGAGGGUUAUUUGGAAGAAACUGUUCACAAAUAGCAAGCCUGAGAUAACAGCAUAUCCCAGUACAAUGCAGCCUGAUCAUCAGGCCUGCAAUUCUACUGAAGAGAACCAUUUUGCAGGCAGAGAAGUUAAUUGAUUUUGAGUGUUCUCCAAAUGGAGAGUCAUAAUACAGGCUAUACGGUUAAGGAAAGGCAAUGUUCUGAGUAUUUAUGGCUGAAAUAUAAGGCUGCUUGAU